AGCAUAUCAAUAAGCGGAGGAAAAGAAACCAACAGGGAUUGCCCUAGUAACGGCGAGUGAAGCGGCAACAGCUCAAAUUUGAAAUCUGGCUCUCUUUGGGGGUCCGAGUUGUAAUUUGCAGAGGAUGCUUUGGCAUUGGCGGCGGUCUAAGUUCCUUGGAACAGGACAUCACAGAGGGUGAGAAUCCCGUACGUGGUCGCCUGCCCUUGCCGUGUAAAGCUCCUUCGACGAGUCGAGUUGUUUGGGAAUGCAGCUCUAAAUGGGAGGUAAAUUUCUUCUAAAGCUAAAUACUGGCCAGAGACCGAUAGCGCACAAGUAGAGUGAUCGAAAGAUGAAAAGUACUUUGGAAAGAGAGUCAAAAAGCACGUGAAAUUGUUGAAAGGGAAGCGCUUGCAGCCAGACUUGCCCGCAGUUGCUCACCUAGGCUUUCGCCUGGGGCACUCUUCUGCGGGCAGGCCAGCAUCAGUUUGGGCGGUUGGAUAAAGGCCUCUGUCACGUAUCUCCCUUCGGGGUGACCUUAUAGGGGAGGCGCAAUGCAACCAGCCCGGACUGAGGUCCGCGCAUCUGCUAGGAUGCUGGCGUAAUGGCUGUAAGCGGCCCGUCUUGAAACACGGACCAAGGAGUCUAACAUCUAUGCGAGUGUUUGGGUGUCAAGCCCGAGCGCGCAAUGAAAGUGAACGGAGGUGGGAACCCUUUGGGUGCACCAUCGACCGAUCCUGAUGUCUUCGGAUGGAUUUGAGUAAGAGCAUAGCUGUUGGGACCCGAAAGAUGGUGAACUAUGCUUGAAUAGGGUGAAGCCAGAGGAAACUCUGGUGGAGGCUCGCAGCGGUUCUGACGUGCAAAUCGAUCGUCAAAUUUGGGCAUAGGGGCGAAAGACUAAUCGAACC
rnacentral:rRNA from 1 species